GAUGAAGAACGCAGCGAAAUGCGAUAAGUAAUGUGAAUUGCAGAAUUCAGUGAAUCAUCGAAUCUUUGAACGCACAUUGCGCCCCUUGGUAUUCCGGGGGGCAUGCCUGUUCGAGCGUCAUUUCAACCCUCAAGCUUAGCUUGGUAUUGAGUCUAUGUCAGUAAUGGCAGGCUCUAAAAUCAGUGGCGGCGCCGCUGGGUCCUGAACGUAGUAAUAUCUCUCGUUACAGGUUCUCGGUGUGCUUCUGCCAAAACCCAAAUUUUUCUAUGGUUGACCUCGGAUCAGGUAGGGAUACCCGCUGAACUUAAGCAUAUCAUAAGCGGAGGA
rnacentral:misc_RNA from 1 species